rnacentral:tRNA from 1 species
GCGGGAUUAGCUCAGUUGGUAGAGCGCUAGCUUCCCAAGCUGGAAGUCGCGAGUUCGAGUCUCGUAUCCCGCUCCA